rnacentral:rRNA from 1 species
UGAGGAAUAUUGGUCAAUGGGCGAGAGCCUGAACCAGCCACGUCGCGUGAAGGAAGACUGACCUUACGGUUUGUAAACUUCUUUUGUAGAGGGGUAAUGGCAGAUACGUGUAUUUGCGUGAAAGUACUCUACGAAUAAGCAUCGGCUAACUCCGUGCCAGCAGCCGCGGUAAUACGGUGGAUGCGAGCGUUAUCCGGAAUUAUUGGGUUUAAAGGGUGCGCAGGUGGCUAAUCAGGUCAGUGGUGAAAAGCUAUGGCUCAACCAUGGUCUUGCCAUUGAAACCGUAUAGCUAGAGAGGAGACGAGGUAGGCGGAAUGUGUGGUGUAGCGGUGAAAUGCAUAGAUAUCACACAGAACUCCGAUUGCGAAGGCAGCUUACCAGGCUUUAUCUGACACUUAGGAACGACAGCGUGGGGAUCAAACAGG